ACCUGCAGCUUGCGGAAGUGCGAAACCUAGGAGCGGAGACCUCUUCUUGCCGCCGCCGCUGGUUCUUGGCUGUUGGUUCUAUUCUAGCAGAUGUUUCUGCCCUGGGUGUGUGUUCGUCCGGAAAUCAAGAUCCACCGAGACAGAGAAGCGGAGUGGAGGCAGGGUUAGAGGCCACCGGUCCUGUAAAGCCUAGCUCGUGGAGGACCCAGGGAGAGGAAGGAGGGGAGUCACCGCCUCAGGCAAAGGGGAGUGGUCGCCGUCGAGCUGCACAUCGCCGGAAGGGGGCGGGAGGAGGCGAGGUCAGGGAAGAAUCUUUGGACGACGGCCCAAGUUCACGCCCGGUCUCUCAAGCCUUCGACGACG
rnacentral:lncRNA from 1 species